rnacentral:rRNA from 1 species
UACGAAGGGGGGCUAGCGUUGCUCGGAAUGACUGGGCGUAAAGGGCGCGUAGGCGGAUUGUACAGUCAGGCGUGAAAUUCCCGGGCUCAACCUGGGGGCUGCGCUUGAGACGUGCGAUCUUGAGUGGGGAAGAGGGUCGUGGAAUUCCCAGUGUAGAGGUGAAAUUCGUAGAUAUUGGGAAGAACACCGGUGGCGAAGGCGGCUCACUGGACCGACACUGACGCUGAGGCGCGAAAGCGUGGGGAGCAAACAGG